rnacentral:lncRNA from 9 species
AGGAAAAGGUUAAAGGGGAAAACUGAUCCAGGGACUAACUCUGUCUCAGGGGCCAGAGCUGUAAGCCAAAAACGAAGAACAUGGAGACAUGGAGCCACUGGAAGUAAAAGAGCAGGCCCGCCAGCUAGCAAGAUGCUUCUUGUCGGUAGCUUUCAGGAGGUUUUGUAAAGGUACGACCCGCAAGCACACACUGAACAGAGAAAGGGAAUGCUCUUGUCUGAGAAAGAAGCCAGGCUUUCUACAUGCACAUCUGCUGCGGACACCCGGCCCUCAGUUCCGUUUUCGUUCCCAUACGACUUCUUCGAGAAAGGUUUUUAAAGAAUCUGAAGAUAAGCUGGUGGGCUCCGGAACAAAUCCUCUUCCAUAGAAGACAUCUGAGAAAGACCUGAUUCGAAAGAAGAGACUUGAAGACUUGAGAAACUUCCUGUUGACAAUUCUGUACCACACGGCCUGGACGCCCGGAAGACGCAGCUGGCAGCCACUGUCCACAGCCCACGGAGGUUCUUAGGGAAGUUUCUAGAAGACCUUGUGCUUUAGAGAGUUGUGAAAACGCAAGUGUUGUUAGUUCUUGAGAGGGACUUCCUUCCAAGCAGAAGAUGAACUGUGUGUGGCUCUGGUUGCCAAUUUGGCAGAAUCACAGUGGAAGAUGUGAACAGUGGUAAGAGAGCUGUCAGCACGUCAGCAGAGUCUCCUGAAGGAGUUAGGCCCUGGGGUCAGAUGAUUCUCCAGCUCUCAUCUUUGCCACAAAGGGGCUGCCAUGAUCCAAACACAGCGGCUUCUCCAAACACAGAGGAUCUGUCGGUUUGGCUCUACAGCUUAUGUGGGAGCGAGGGUGAUUUGCAGGAGGUAAAGGAGGAUCCCUCUCAGCAUCCUGCUAUCGGUAGUGAUCUCUCAGCAUAAAUCAGCUUCUCAGGCAGAGCUCAGGCUGCUAAAGAGAAGGGAGGGUUCUCUCCAAAAACAGAGUCUUUUUGGCAGAGAUGGUGGACCUGGCAUUGUAAAGAACGGGUUAUGAGUUGAUGAAUUAUUUAUAACGGAUUUUUUUAAAGCACUUGUUGCUAGACUCUGACGCUUUCCUAUCUAAACACCUCCUCUUCUCUGCCUCCACCCUCACCAGAUCCCCCUGUCCUGGGUCCUGUCUCCUCCGGAGUACCUUGGGCUGGGCUGCUUCAUUGUAUUACAAACAAGUUAAUCCCCUUAUGCUCAGGAUGCAAAUGCGAUGGAGCCAAGGUCUGGGAAGCUAUGCAAAACAAUCUCUUAAGAAGCCUUUUCCCUUUUCCCUAAUGCCAGGACAGUACAAGAUGGCAGAUUUAGAAUUUAAGACUCGGAGGGUGCGCAAACAUCAAUCAUGAAAAUCAAACAACGGUCCAAUCAUGGGGUAAAAUAUAGACUCUGUAUUUAUGGCUUGGUUGUAACCGCUGGGCAUGUCCAGCCUCACCAUAUAUUGUUGACAGAUCCGGUGGCAGUUCUCGUGUCGUUUAUUCCUUUUCUCAAUUUUCUGGCAUUGGCUCGAUCUAUAGUCGUGGGCAGUAAAUUACAGGGGUGAGCCUGGUUUCUAACCCUCUGGCUAGAGAGUUCCCAUUACCUGGCUAGGCAAGCUAAAUAUUUCAUUUUAAGAGGCAUCAAAAUCAUAACAAGAAGAUCAUUUGAAUGAAAUUAAAUGCCAGUGGACUAGACUAACCAGCACCUCCGCGUGCGACAGUGUAUGAUAGAGUGGAGAAAACAAAGUCCCGACAGCAAACUGGCUUCUCUGACCGAGGUGAGCUACGCCUUCUCUGUGAGUCCAGUUACUCUUUCUCCAACAACCCAACAGUCUCAAGACUCUGUGCCUCUCAAGAUGAUUUCUUCUUCUUCUUCUUCUUUUUAAUCACUUAGGACAUAUGCAGCUGCAAGUGACAGAAGACCUAGCUGAAAGUGACAACAACUAAAGUCACCUAUGAUCUUAACUCACAGGAAGUCUGAGCCCUGGGUGUUCCCAGAGAAGUUCACUCGGGAGCUCAGUGGCAUCAGCUGUCCUGCGAUAAGUUUGGCUUUUUCUUAUUCAAGGUCACAAGUUCACUGUACCCAGUAUCACAUCCUCAGAGAGUGACAUUCAGAGACAGGAAAAUGGAUAUUUUUUUGUAUGUCCGUUUUCUUAAGGGUGAAGAAAAUUUUCCCAAAGCUCCAGAUUUUACUCACUGGCCUGAAUUGUGCACUGAGUCCAUCCACUGGCAUAUCAACAGUCUAUGAGAUGGAAUGAGCACAGGCAGCCGGAAUCAAUAAGCACUGGCCCCCCCUGUGGCAGAAGGAAGUCUCAGCCUACCUUGGAAUAGAAGGUGGGCACGAAGAGAUGACUGGAUUAAGGAGAGGGGUACAGCUGCACAAUGGAAUACUAUUCAGCGAUAAAAAAGAAUCAAAUAAUGUCAUUUGCAGCACCAAGGAUGUCGCUAGAGAUUAUCAUACUGAGUGAAGCAAGUCAGAAAGAGAAAGACAAAUGCCAUAUGGUAUCACUAUGUGGAAUCUCAAAUAUGGCACAAAUGAACCUAUCUGCAAAACAGAAACAGACUCGCAAGACAGAGAGAACUGCCUUGUGGUUGCCAAGGGGGAGGGGGGAGGGAUUAUGAUGGAUGGGGAGUUUGAGGUUGGCAGAUGCAAACCAUUCCAUUUAGAAUGGAUAAGCAACGAGGUCUUACUGCACAGCACAGGAUCUACAUCCAGUCCCUGGGGAUAGACCAGGAUGGAAGAUAGUAUGAGAAAAGAAUGAAUGUGUAUACGUUUGACUGGGUCACUGUGCUGUACAGCAGAAAUUGGCACAACACUGCCAAUCAACUACACUUUGAUAAAAAAUUUUAAUUAGGGUUCAGGGAGAUAAAGGCAAUGGCGCUGUGUCUCGCAUAAGUGACGGGCAGUGUCUCUGGAUUCCUCUCAAGCUCUAUCUGCAUGUAGAAGUUCACACAAAACUCACUUGUAGGUUUCAGAAAAACCUGAAAGCACGGUAGAUACCCCAGGCGACAGAGCUUCCAAUCCAAGUCACACAAUUCCAUUAGGCAGACACGGCCCUCUCUCCUCUAUGCUUCGAAAACCCUCCUCUCUGGACGUAGCUGUCGUUUGUUCAAAGCACUUAGAAGCACGUAUUGCAUUUCUCAAGCAAGAUCUCCUAAACCUACUGAAGUUAACUGAAUCCUGGCCUGUGUACCUAAUACCUGAAAAAGCAUGGCAGUCCCUGUACAGAUGAUGGACGAAAGCUGCCCCCCCCCCCGUUAAUGCACAAAUCUACGAAAGCUGCCCCCCCAUUAAUGCACAAAUCUUACCCCAGGUGAUGGUGGGGGAGGGGAGAAGCGUGCCGUAUUGCUUCUAGAAUUCCUCAAGGUCGGAUUGUAAACCUCAUAGAAUUUUUUUCUGACUGCCUGUGGGGCUGGAUAAUUUCCUCCUUCCAGAAGAGUCCCUUACCCCGUGUUUCCCACUCUCUCCAUUUCAGGGAGCAUCUUCAGUUCAGGUGGUUUGGCCCACGACUGACCGUGACGGUCCAUCUACCUCAUGUGGAUGGUAACACUGAUGAAACCAGGCAUCAUUUUUGACCAGAACAAAUGCCAAUAGCUCCC